UACGGGGGGGUGAAGCGUUGUUCGGAAUUACUGGGCGUAAAGGGCUCGUAGGCGGCCAACUAAGUCAGACGUGAAAUCCCUCAGCUUAACUCGGAAACUGCCAUUGAUACUAUCUUUCUUGAAUACCGUGGAGGUCAGCGGAAUAUGUCAUGUAGCGGUGAAAUGCUUAGAUAUGACAUAGAACACCAAUUGCGAAGGCAGCUGGCUACACGAAUAUUGACACUGAUGCACGAAAGCGUGGGGAGCGAACAGG
rnacentral:rRNA from 1 species